GAUGAACGCUGGCGGCGUGCUUAACACAUGCAAGUCGAACGGUGAAGCAGAGCUUGCUCUUUGGAUCAGUGGCGAACGGGUGAGUAACACGUGAGCAACCUGCCCCUGACACUGGGAUAAGCGCUGGAAACGGCGCCUAGUACUGGAUAUGAGCUGCGACCGCAUGGUCAGCAGUUGGAAAGAUUUUUCGGUCUGGGAUGGGCUCACGGCCUAUCAGCUUGUUGGUGAGGUAAUGGCUCACCAAGGCGUCGACGGGUAGCCGGCCUGAGAGGGUGACCGGCCACACUGGGACUGAGACACGGCCCAGACUCCUACGGGAGGCAGCAGUGGGGAAUAUUGCACAAUGGGCGAAAGCCUGAUGCAGCAACGCCGCGUGAGGGAUGACGGCCCUCGGGUUGUAAACCUCUUUUAGCAGGGAAGAAGCGAAAGUGACGGUACCUGCAGAAAAAGCGCCGGCUAACUACGUG
rnacentral:rRNA from 1 species